rnacentral:rRNA from 1 species
UGAGGAAUAUUGGUCAAUGGGCGCAAGCCUGAACCAGCCAAGUAGCGUGCAGGAAGACGGCCCUAUGGGUUGUAAACUGCUUUUAUACGAGAAUAAUUUGAUGCACGUGUGCGUUAUUGCAUGUAUCGUAUGAAUAAGGACCGGCUAAUUCCGUGCCAGCAGCCGCGGUAAUACGGAAGGUCCAGGCGUUGUCCGGAUUUAUUGGGUUUAAAGGGAGUGUAGGCGGUUUGUUAAGCGUGUUGUGAAAUUUAGGUGCUCAACAUUUAACUUGCAGCGCGAACUGUCAGACUUGAGUACACGCAACGUAUGCGGAAUUCAUGGUGUAGCGGUGAAAUGCUUAGAUAUCAUGAAGAACUCCGAUUGCGAAGGCAGCAUACGGGAGUGUAACUGACGCUUAAGCUCGAAGGUGCGGGUAUCGAACAGGAUUAGAUACCCUGGUAGUCCGCACAGUAAACGAUGGAUGCCCGCUGUUAGCGCCUGGCGUUAGCGGCUAAGCGAAAGCAUUAAGCAUCCCACCUGGGGAGUACGCCGGCNACGGU